rnacentral:rRNA from 1 species
UACGGAGGAUGCGAGCGUUAUCUGGAUUUAUUGGGUUUAAAGGGUGCGUAGGCGGGCUGUUAAGUCAGCGGUCAAAUGUCGGGGCUCAACCCCGGCCUGCCGUUGAAACUGGUGGCCUCGAGUGGGCGAGAAGUAUGCGGAAUGCGUGGUGUAGCGGUGAAAUGCAUAGAUAUCACGCAGAACUCCGAUUGCGAAGGCAGCAUACCGGCGCCCGACUGACGCUGAGGCACGAAAGCGUGGGUAUCGAACAGG